GUGAAUCAUCGAAUUUUUGAACGCAAAUUGCGCUUCCUGGCAUUCCCGGGAGGUAUGCCUGUUUGAGGGUCAGUAUUAAUAAAAAAUCGGUUUAGUUACAAAUUGUGACGUUUCAGGUGUUUGGGGUAUCUUAACAUUUUUGGUUAAGAGGUUUAAAAUUGACAUUUUUUGCGUCUUUUUAAACGUAUAUACUUUUUUUUUCUUGGUCUAUUCUUAAUGCCAAAAUCUUAUUAGAUGCGAUCACAUAGUGUGGUUUAGUG
rnacentral:misc_RNA from 1 species